rnacentral:rRNA from 1 species
CGAGUUUGAUCCUGGCUCAGAACGAACGCUGGCGGCAGGCUUAACACAUGCAAGUCGAGCGCCCCGCAAGGGGAGCGGCAGACGGGUGAGUAACGCGUGGGAACAUACCCUUUAGUACGGAAUAGCCUCGGGAAACUGGGAUUAAUACCGUAUACGCCCUACGGGGAAGGAUUAUCGCUAAAGGAUUGGCCCGCGUUGGAUUAGCUAGUUGGUGAGGUAAUGGCUCACCAAGGCGACGAUCUAUAGCUGGUCUGAGAGGAUGAUCAGCCACACUGGGACUGAGACACGGCCCAGACUCCUACGGGAGGCAGCAGUGGGGAAUAUUGGACAAUGGGCGAAAGCCUGAUCCAGCCAUGCCGCGUGAGUGAUGAAGGCCCUAGGGUUGUAAAGCUCUUUCGCUAGAGAAGAUAAUGACGGUAUCUAGUAAAGAAGCCCCGGCUAACUUCGUG